rnacentral:rRNA from 1 species
CUCCGUGCCAGCAGCCGCGGUAAUACGGAGGGUGCGAGCGUUAAUCGGAAUUACUGGGCGUAAAGCGCAUGCAGGCGGCCUGUUAAGUCAGAUGUGAAAGCCCGGGGCGUUAACCUCGGAAUUGCAUUUGAAACUGGCAGGCUAGAGUCUUGUAGAGGGGGGUAGGAAGUUUCAGGUGUAGCGGUGAAAUGCGUAGAGAUCUGAAGGAAUACCAGUGGCGAAGGCGGCCCCCUCGGACAAAGACUGACGCUCAGAUGCGAAAGCGUGGGGAGCAAACAGGAUUAGAUACCCUGGUAG